rnacentral:rRNA from 1 species
UACGAAGGGUGCAAGCGUUACUCGGAAUUACUGGGCGUAAAGCGCGCGUAGGCGGCCGAUCGCGUCGGAUGUGAAAGCUCGGGGCUCAACCCUGAGAGGCCAUUCGAUACGGGUCGGCUAGAGGCAGGUAGGGGAAGGUGGAAUUCCUGGUGUAGCGGUGAAAUGCGCAGAUAUCAGGAGGAAUACCGAUGGCGAAGGCAGCCCCCUGGGAUAACACUGACGCUCAUGCACGAAAGCGUGGGGAGCAAACAGG